rnacentral:rRNA from 1 species
AGUGAACGCUGGCGGUAGGCCUAACACAUGCAAGUCGAACGGCGGCACAGUAAGAGCUUGCUCUUACGGGUGGCGAGUGGCGGACGGGUGAGGAAUACAUCGGAAUCUACUUUUUCGUGGGGGAUAACGUAGGGAAACUUACGCUAAUACCGCAUACGACCUACGGGUGAAAGCAGGGGAUCUUCGGACCUUGCGCGAUUGAAUGCGCCGAUGUCGGAUUAGCUAGUUGGCGGGGCAAAGGCCCACCAAGGCGACGAUCCGUAGCUGGUCUGAGAGGAUGGUCAGCCACACUAGAACUGGGACACGGUCCAGACUCCUACGGGAGGCAGCAGUGGGGAAUAUUGGACAAUGGGCGGAAGCCUGGUCCAGCCAUACCGCGUGGGUGAAGAAGGCCUUCGGGUUGUAAAGCCCUUUUGUUGGGAAAGAAAAGCAUCAGGUUGAUACCCCGCUGUUCUGACGGUACCCAAAGAAUAAGCACCGGCUAACUUCGUG